CAGUAUUCGAGAGCGAUCGCUCCCGCUUCCCGACCAAGCCUGGAAUAUUUUCCAACAACUUUGUGACCUCCAUGAUUAUAAAGGGGAAAUGUGGAAAUAUGCUUUAAGAGCACUAAUUUAUAAAAUGUAGUGAAAGUUCAUGUAAUUUUUUCAAAAUCGAAUAUGCGGAAAGGAGCUAUUUGGAAUGAAGAUUUA